GAAAAGAACCCCGGCGAGGGGAGUGAAAAAGAACCUGAAACCGUGUACGUACAAGCAGUGGGAGCACAGGUUUACCUGUGUGACUGCGUACCUUUUGUAUAAUGGGUCAGCGACUUAUAUUCUGUAGCAAGGUUAACCGUAUAGGGGAGCCGUAGGGAAACCGAGUCUUAACCGGGCGUUAAGUUGCAGGGUAUAGACCCGAAACCCGGUGAUCUAGCCAUGGGCAGGUUGAAGGUUGGGUAACACUAACUGGAGGACCGAACCGACUAAUGUUGAAAAAUUAGCGGAUGACCUGUGGCUGGGGGUGAAAGGCCAAUCAAACCGGGAGAUAGCUGGUUCUCCCCGAAAGCUAUUUAGGUAGCGCCUCGUGAAUUCAUCUCCGGGGGUAGAGCACUGUUUCGGCUAGGGGGCCAUCCCGGCUUACCAACCCGAUGCAAACUGCGAAUACCGGAGAAUGUUAUCACGGGAGACACACGGCGGGUGCUAACGUCCGUCGUGAAGAGGGAAACAACCCAGACCGCCAGCUAAGGUCCCAAAGUCAUGGUUAAGUGGGAAACGAUGUGGGAAGGCCCAGACAGCCAGGAUGUUGGCUUAGAAGCAGCCAUCAUUUAAAGAAAGCGUAAUAGCUCACUGGUCGAGUCGGCCUGCGCGGAAGAUGUAACGGGGCUAAACCAUGCACCGAAGCUGCGGCAGCGACGCUUAUGCGUUGUUGGGUAGGGGAGCG
rnacentral:rRNA from 1 species